GAUGAAGAACGUAGCGAAAUGCGAUAAGUAAUGUGAAUUGCAGAAUUCAGUGAAUCAUCGAAUCUUUGAACGCACAUUGCGCCCGCCAGUAUUCUGGCGGGCAUGCCUGUUCGAGCGUCAUUACAACCCUCAGGCCCCCGGGCCUGGCGUUGGGGAUCGGCGGAAGCCCCCUGCGGGCACAACGCCGUCCCCCAAAUACAGUGGCGGUCCCGCCGCAGCUUCCAUUGCGUAGUAGCUAACACCUCGCAACUGGGGAGCGGCGCGGCCACGCCGUAAAACACCCAACUUCUGAAUGUUGACCUCGAAUCAGGUAGGAAUACCCGCUGAACUUAAGCAUAUCAAUAAGCGGAGGA
rnacentral:misc_RNA from 1 species